UAAGACAGAGGUGCCAAGCGUUAGGCGGAAUCACUGGGCUUAAAGCGUGUGUAGGCGGAUCGUUAAGUACCUUGUGAAAUCCCACGGCUCAACCGUGGAACUGCUCGGUAUACUGGCGGUCUUGAGCCACCUAGGGGCAACUGGAACAAGCGGUGGAGCGGUGAAAUGCGUAGAUAUCGCUUGGAACGCCAACGGUGAAAACAGGUUGCUGGGGGUGUGCUGACGCUGAGACACGAAAGCCAGGGGAGCGAACGGGAUUAGAUACCCCGGUAGUCCUGGCCCUAAACGAUGAAUGCUUGGUGUGGCGGGUAUCGAUCCCUGCCGUGCCGAAGCUAACGCAUUAAGCAUUCCGCCUGGGGAGUACGGUCGCAAGGCUG
rnacentral:rRNA from 1 species